CCUUAUGAAUCCACGUGUCAUCGUCCAUGUGUCACACUUUCCUCUUUUCUCUCUUUCACUGCUUCUCCUUCAACGUUUCAUCUUCCUCUUCAGUCUUCACCCCUUCUACAUGAUGAUUUUCUACACUCUACACUAAUUGAGUUCUCAUACACAUUUCCUCUUCCUCUUCUCAUUCAACCCAUUUAUUAACAUUUAUUUGUAUUUACCAACUAAGUCAUUACUUGGUUCAUAUUCAAUGUUCCAUCCAAUCAACCAAUUAAUCAACUCCCUGAAAAAAAAAAUUACAUCAAUUUAAUUCUCACCUUCCUCUUUCCAAUUUUAAUGGGACUGUUUCAAUAUAAUCGGAACCAUUAAUUCAAUUAUUGAUAAAAACGAUCGAUUGUCUGAGUUGUUUGAAACCGUUCAAACUGAAUAAUAGGAUGAAGAUGAAACAACAUGAGUUGUGAGGGUUUAUGGUUUCCAUUAAUUAUCAUAUAUAUAUCCGCAUCAAAUCUUCGCGGGUCGACGGAGAUUUUUUUCCCCUUUCCUCCAUUACAACAAUAUUUAUCCAUAUUUUUUUUCCCCAAGACGAUUGAUCGAAAGAGGAUGCACUAUGGGUCUGCACAUAAGUGAUUUCUUCUUCAACUACUACACCAUCGGAAAUUUGUCAUCUGAAGCUCCGAUACAACACUCAAUCCACAAAGGUUGUACUACAAGUGUGAUCCUUGCAACAAUCUGAGAUGGUGCAAGGGAGUAGUUGAGCAAGAAAACAGGGGGCAGCAGUAUGAAGGACAAUGGACAAUACAGGGGAAGCUUAGACGAAGGAGAAAGUACUGAAAAUAGGGGAAAUAGUAAGAUGCAAUAAGACUUGAAGCAAAUGAAGAAAAGGUUGAUACUGUAAUGUCAAUACAAGGCAUCUUACUUUGAUUUUGAAAUGAAGAAAGGCUAAUCCUAUUUAUGUCAUGGUUUGGGAUGGACAGGCAGAACUUAGGACUCAGGAGAGCAAGCAAGUACUUUUAGCAAAGAAAAGUUAAGACUUCAGAGAACUCUUAGCAAAGCAAUUGGGAGGCAAACAACAUGUGAAAGAAGUCCGAGGGCAGGGUCUUAUUAUUGGUAUAGAGUUGGAUGUACAAGUUGGCCCGCUAGUUGAUGCUUAUCGAAAUUCAGGAAUGUUAAAUUGUUAAUAUUAACUGCUGGAAAAGGAAAAUAGUGAGAUUGGUUCCUCCACUGACCAUAUUAGAACAGGAGCUCGAAACAGGUUCUGAGAUUCUCCUCGAGUGUUUCCCGUCCCUAGGUUGAAGCAGUGGAGUUGAAUUUGUGUACGAUGAGUCGAUGCUUGUCAAAUUUCCUUGUGACAUCAAUAGAUCCAAAGCUCAUAAUUGGCAUCGUAGCUGUAAAUCAGGAAUAAGUUUCCUACUAGCUUCUCUUUGGAUUAUGCCUUGAGUUUAAUGUACAAAUUGUCAUUUCAAGAUAUCCCACUCGUUAAUCAGAACAUUGAUUUUCUUUGUU